CUUGAACAAUUUGGUUUUGAUUCUGUGCAGUUUUUGUGAUGAUAUAAUUGCACACAUCAGUAUAUGUGGUCAAAAGUGCAAAAUUUGAGGUGAAUAUGAAUAAAAACGCUCUCUGCAAGUCACAAGUCAACACUGCUUCCUGCUCUGAAGACCUUGUUUGUGUUUGUAGUGCCAGUUUCUCACUGACCUGAAGUCAGAUGUUUUCAGGAAACAUGAACCAUCUACAAGUUGCAUCAAACAGCAUUAGUCUGAACUACCUUGUUCCACCAACUGAGGCUUGACUCGACACAAAAGCAGCUCAGCUUCUUUGGAACCUACUUUUCGAAAACUAGAUUAUUUGUGAAAAUAUUUUAAUAUUAAAAUAGCAUUUUUGUCUUUAAUCUGCAGCCAGACAAUAUGAGAGCUCUGUGCACAAGACUGCAUGAGUAUUUUCUCUGUUUCCAGAGGAGAGCCCUUCCUCCUCUGCUGUCAAUCCAUGGGUCAUUGCCACUGUUUUAUCAAGCACUCUGUUGAUGGCAGUGGGACUGUAUCACUUUGUCAAAUGUUGCUCAAACAGAGGUAAAAAAAAAACACAAAUAUUAUAUUUCAUGAAUAACUUUGGGGUUAUUGCUUUUGCACACUCACAAUAUGGCCUGUUAACACAAAAGUGUAUGGUUCAUAAGUAGCUGUAAUCUGGAGUUACUGCACCUUAAAUAUUGUAACACAAUGUGUUAAUUAAUUCAUUAUUAUUAAUGUUUUGAUUUUUUUUUUUUUUUUUACUUGCAGCAUUGCUCUGCGAGUCCUCAAAGGCAGAGGUUUCAGGCUCAGCUGAGGAUCAAACAGACCAACAGUGAAUGCAGGCCGAUCAACACAUGCUGCUGUAAGAAAAAACAGGGAGAACAAACUUUGCAGAGUGAGAGCUGACUGAAGACAUAAUCACAUCUGAGAGGGUGAAAACAAUUAUCAUGCACUGUUUUUGUAAUUGAACAAGCUGUCAUUUCCAGCAUUUUUGCCGGCCUGCUCUGUGCCAAGAAAAUGCUGUGGGGGUUGGAGUGUGGACAGACCCCACACCCCAACCCCCACAGCAUUUUCUUGGCACACAUUGUUUUCUUUCCCUUUUUUGGUUUCAUUUUCUUGAAAAAAAAAUGAGCAGGGCUUUUGUUUAUAAAUUUGCUCUAAUUCAAGUAAAUUAUUAACCAUUCAUUCAUACUUUGAUACAGUGGUGUUGAUUUAUGCAGCAAACGUGGGCUGAGUAACAACAUGAACAUCACAAGGGGUACGUGACCCUAAAGCAGUUUUGGGGUGAGAUGAUUUGAUGGUAACUAGUAGCAUGAUCACCGGUUACGGAAAAACCUUUGCUCUGCUCCCACCUAGUGUUUGAUGUUGGAAUUGCUGUGCGACGUGAAGAGAAAAGCUAGAAAUGCCACAUCAUCUACAGACUUAUUAAAUCUGCAGAAUCUGCAGAUUUAUAGAACUAUGAAACUCCAGUGUCCUUCUCUUCAGUUUUCCAUUUUAAUCUCUUCACAGCAGGAAUCUUAAACUUUCAGGACUGUCUGUGUAACAGUUAAAAAGGUUCAGGUUAAACCCAGCUAAGUGGGACAAUAGCGCCGUCUACUGCCUGAAAUGUCACAGCAUUAAUGGCAAAGGAUUAUGGGUAAUCCUGGGAGAAAUGGAAGAUUCACGUAGAGAGCGGUCCUUUGUCUUUUCUCAUAAAUGCAGAUGCUGUUACUUCUGAACUGACUGGCUCCAGAUUGGUUAUUUUAAGAGCUGAGAGGGCAUCAUACACAGGUCACAUCUGUACAUGAAAACUUGACACAGGGCAGAGAGGUGACAGUAAUACUGAAUGCUCUGUAAUUUAAUAUUUAAAAAAAAAACUUCCAUCUCAUUUAACAAACACUAGUGCUCCAUUUUCAUUGACUGGUCCUUUUAUUAAAAUCAUAGCAUCCCCUUAAAUUAAUUAAAAAAUACCUCACUGCUGCAGAGGAACAAAUGCAGGUGGAGUUUUUUCUGUUUAGGGGAACAGUUGUAAUUUUGUAUUAUUUACUAGAAUUAAACUACGAUAAGAAGGAGUUUUGAAUGGAUUGAAAUUAUGCAAUUCUCUUUUUCAAUAUUUUUUUUGGAACUGCACAUGUUAAGGAUUUUUUUUAGGGUUUCUCACAGUGAAUCUUCAUUUGGCUUUUGGACACUGACACAGUUAGUUUAUUAACAGCAGCAGCUCUGCUUCUUGAAAACUAUGUUUCAUGAUCACAUGAUCAGAGAAUAAGUGAGCACAAGUUUAUUGUAUUAAAAGUGAAGGUUUGGAAAAUAUAUUCUUUUGUUUUUAGUUUUAUUUAUUUAUUUUUUUCCAGAACACUUUUCUGCAGUUUUGCUUUUAUGUUUUUAAGCUUUGUUAUUGUAAAGUG